rnacentral:rRNA from 1 species
CCUACGGGAGGCAGCAGUGGGGAAUUUUGGACAAUGGGGGCAACCCUGAUCCAGCGACGCCGCGUGGAGGACGAAGGUCUUCGGAUUGUAAACUCCUUUUAGAGGGGAUGCAGUACUCUUUGAAUAAGCCACGGCUAACUACGUGCCAGCAGCCGCGGUAAUACGUAGGUGGCAAGCGUUACUCGGAAUCACUAGGCGUAAAGCGCAGGUAGGCGGUUUGGUAAGUCUUUUGUGAAAGCUCCUGGCUCAACUGGGAGAGGUCAAAGGAAACUACCAGGCUAGAGUUUGGUAGGGGAUACUGGAAUUCCUGGUGUAGCGGUGAAAUGCGUAGAUAUCAGGAGGAAUACCUAUGGCGAAAGCAGGUAUCUGGCCCAACUGACGCUGAGCUGCGAAAGCUAGGGGAGCAAACAGGAUUAGAUACCCUUGUAGUC